rnacentral:lncRNA from 1 species
GAAAGAAAAUGUCAUGGAAAUGAGUUGGAUUCAAUCAGUUCUUUGGUGGGCCAAUUUCGAUAAUGGAACUUCACCAAAUGUUUUGCUGGACAGAGACCUUAACUCCGCUGAUUUCCUGAAGAGGAAAUCUGAUUAUGUUCAGAAACCGAUUCCAAAAUAUUCCCUGAAUUUGCUGUGGAAACAAAUGAUGGAAUUGGGGAAAAUUGGGUUGGUCUUCAAUCCUUAUGGAGGAAAAAUGGCUGAAAUUCCAGCAUCAGAGACUGCAUUUCCACACAGAGCAGGAAACUUGUUCAAGAUUCAGUAUUCAAUAAGUUGGAGUGAUCCUGGAACUGAGAUUGAGGAGGACAGACUAUCUCAGGCGACAAGCCUUUACAGCUUUAUGACUCCAUUUGUGUCAAAGAGUCCACGAA